rnacentral:rRNA from 1 species
UACAGAGGAGCCAAGCGUUGUCCGGAUUGACUGGGCGUAAAGCGCACGCAGGCGGUUGCGCGCGUGGGGUGUGAAAUCUGGCCGCUUAACGGUCAGGCGCCAUCCCAUACGGCGCGACUGGAGGCUUGCAGAGGUCGGUGGAAUUGCCGGUGUAGUGGUGAAAUGCGUAGAGAUGUGGAGGAACACCGAUGGCGAAGGCAGCCCCCUGGGCUAACACUGACGCUCAUGCACGAAAGCGUGGGGAGCAAACAGG